rnacentral:rRNA from 1 species
CCGGCACGGGUGAGUAACACGUAUCCAACCUGCCGUCUACUCUUGGACAGCCUUCUGAAAGGAAGAUUAAUACAAGAUGGCAUCAUGAGUCCGCAUGUCCACAUGAUUAAAGGUAUUCCGGUAGACGAUGGGGAUGCGUUCCAUUAGAUAGUAGGCGGGGUAACGGCCCACCUAGUCUUCGAUGGAUAGGGGUUCUGAGAGGAAGGUCCCCCACAUUGGAACUGAGACACGGUCCAA